rnacentral:misc_RNA from 1 species
CAACCCUCAAGCCCCGCUUGGUAUUGGGCCCCGCCGCCUGGCCGGCCCCAAAGACAGUGGCGGCGUCGCCCGGCCCCGAGCGCAGUACAGCUCUCGCUCCAGGGUCGUGCGGUGGCCUGCCAGAACCCCAACUCUGU